UACGUAGGGACCAAGCGUUGUCCGGAAUCAUUGGGCGUAAAGAGCGUGUAGGCGGCUUGUUAAGUCUUGCGUGAAAUCUCGGGGCUCAACCCCGAGCGGUCGUGAGAAACUGGCAGGCUUGAGUAUGGGAGAGGGAUGUAGAAUUCCAGGUGUAGCGGUGAAAUGCGUAGAUAUCUGGAGGAAUACCGGUGGCGAAGGCGGCAUCCUGGACCAUUACUGACGCUGAGGCGCGAAAGCUAGGGGAGCAAACGGG
rnacentral:rRNA from 1 species